UAACAACACAAAUAGGCCUUAGUGCGAAGAGGAGGGCAAACCCUAGUCGCCGCAGGCCACCCCUCUCGUCAUCUACGCCAUUUUUGGCAAAGUUUCAGAAAGCUUUUUCUUUUCCCAGGCCUGUAUGGCCUUAAAGGAGUUGUGAGGAUAAGGAGCAAAAAGGGUCUCCAAAGUUCAUUCUCAACAGUGGCUGCACUCAAAAAAGCAAUCCACUUUCCUUUAGUUAAUUUUUAUUAUUCUGUGUCUUAGAUUGCUUUUUGUGUGAUUUAUUUUCUGUUCUGUGUAGUCUUUUUGGCUUAGUUAAUCUUAGUUUAAGCUUGCUUUAGUGUGAUUAUGGAGUUAUUCAGUGUUAAUCAUGUUGCCUAGUUAGAAUUUUACAUUACUUUAUCACUAUUAGUCUAGGUUAGUAGCUAGUUAAUCCUGCCUAUAUGCUUAACUAGGACUAGGUGUUUAUGGUUCUUGAUAAUCAUGCCUAUGUGCUUAAUUAGGAUUGAGAAUUUAUAAUCUUUGUUGAUCAUGUCUAAGUACUUACCUGUCUCUGAUUAGUUGGUUUACAGUUUCUAUUGAUCAUAUCAAAAGUGUUUAUCUGCUUUGAGAUCAGUUGACCUAUAGUCUGACAAAUUAUAUUACUUGAUUGUUUUAAGGUAAGUUAGUUCAUAAUCUUCUUUAACCAUGCUCAUGCACUUAAUUGAUUGGUUAGGACUAUUUAACCCAUAUUUGUUUCAUUCAAGUUUGAUAAAUCAUGGGUUGUGGUUGAUUAAGUAGGGCAUGUGUGUUAGUAAUAGUUAAACAAUGUUCACUAAUUUGAGUUUGUAACUCUUCUUAAAAAAUGCCAUACAUGUUUCAUUUAAUUAAUUACAGACCAGUAGCUUCUUGACUGUGUUUCUUGUGUGCUUCUAACUGGUUCUUUCCUCCAAAUAUUUGUGAAUAUCUUGAUUACACCAUAUGAACCAACAAGUGCAUUAUUACUUCCUUUGGAAUCUAGCCUAAAAACUAAAUUGAUAGCCUGUCUUACCUUGUUAAGUAUUGGUGCUGAACCUCUUGUUUGUAUUCACUUGUGGUUUGCUAAAGUAUCCAUGCCCUUUCUACUUUGAAAUUUUGUGUAAUAUUUCCUUGGGAAUCUGUUGUGUCUGUUCUAAAUACCUGCACUUAGUUUGAACAUAACCAGGAGUAUUUACACCUGAGUAAAUGGAGUAGGAUCUAAAGGACAUAUUAACAAGAGGUGGUCACUUAAAAUGUGAGGAAUCAUGGGUGUGACUUACCUAGGAUCAUGAAGGAAUGGGACAGGACUUAGAGUUUCUAGUCAAACUCAGUUAGUCCCUUUUCAUCUUUGAUUGCUGGGGUUCCCCUAUGUGAAAUCACAUCUUAUGGGACCCUCUAGGAUGAUUAAAAGGAUUAAUAUGUCAAGGUAAUCCAUUGUUGUUGAAGUGGUCUUUAAAGUUUAAAUCUCAUUUCAAAAAAGAAAAAGUGUGAUGAAUCUAUGUUCUUUCUUUCUUUCUUUUCUUUUAACAAAAGUUGUGUGUUAUUUGAAGCUGCUAGAUUCUGCCUUGCUAAGAUUAACCACCAUGAAAAAUCUCACCCCUCUUUUCCAUUGUUUGUUGCUGAUAUAUAUAUAUAUAUAUAUAUAUAUAUAUGCCAUAUACUGAAUAUAUCCAGAAUAUACAUGACCUAUAUACAUCAUAGUGUGUACAAGAAGUAUAUAUUUUAAAUACCAUUAACCAAUACUGGAACUUGGUUUUUUCUUCUUACAUAUUAUGGAUUAAGUGUUGAGGCCAAAUCUACCCCUUUAAGUAUUUACUCUAUGGGCCUGUUUUGGACUGUUAUGACCCGGUCCCAGUUUUCUUGUUAAUUGGGCGUAGCUACAUUUGUUUUCCUUUGGGUUCUGAAGAGGCAUAUCUUUUCGCUUAAAACCUGUUAAGACUAUAUAUACAUUGUAUACAUGUAGUUUUGCGUAUAUAUAUUUGUUUCAAAUAUUUAUUUGGUUUAAAAUUCUUUGUUACUUCAAUAAGAGAGUUUAGAUACUUUCUAACUUGUGUCUUCUUUUUCCCCUUUGUGUUCGCAUGUGAAAUAUCGCGGGCCACUUGGGCUAUUCCUAUCUAUCAAAAAGUUGGGCCUCAUAUUCGUUAGAUCGAGUCCGUAGGAAAAAAGGAAGCUAGUAUAUAUUGAAGGCCCAACCAUGGGUGAAAAUGACACUGAUGGACUUGGGUAGGCGCAUCAGUUUUAAUUUUUUUUACUUUCUCCUUUUCUCUAUUUCAUGUAUACCUGGCAUGUAUAUAUACAUAUAUUGUAUAUGUACUGAAUGUGUAAAAUGUUUAAACCCUAUGGGUGUAUAACUUAGGAGAUAGUUAGUAGUUUAGGAAAUUGCCAAACUGGUUUCCAACUUGGUUAUUUUCUCGCAUAAAAAAUUGGGGCUUGAGCAUGA